UCUCGGGUAGUAUAGCGGUGAGUAUCCCCGCCUGUCACGCGGGAGACCGGGGUUCAAUUCCCCGCUCGAGAG
rnacentral:tRNA from 1 species